rnacentral:misc_RNA from 1 species
GAUGAAGAACGUAGCGAAAUGCGAUAAGUAAUGUGAAUUGCAGAAUUCAGUGAAUCAUCGAAUCUUUGAACGCAUCUUGAGCUCCUUGGUAUUCCGAGGAGCAUGCCUGUUUGAGUGUCAUUUAACUUCUCAACCACAUUGGAUAUUUUUUUUCCGAUGCCGGCUUGGAUGUGGGGGUUGUUUGCAGGCUUUUUGUAACAAAAAAGGUCGGCUCCCCUGAAAUGUAUUAGUGGUAUCUGAGGCUAUUACUAUUAGGUGUGAUAAUUAUCUAUGCCUUUUGGGUAUGCCGCAUGAACAGAUUAUGCUGCUUCUAACGAAAACUAUUUUGAUGAAUUUGACCUCAAAUCAGGUAGGACUACCCGCUGAACUUAAGCAUAUCAAUAAGCGGAGGA